rnacentral:rRNA from 1 species
UACAGAGGUCUCAAGCGUUGUUCGGAAUUACUGGGCGUAAAGGGUGCGCAGGCCGCGCGGGCAGUCAAAUGUGCAAUCCAGGGGCUCAACCCCUGAACUGCGCUUGAUACUUCCGCGCUCGAGCUUUGGAGAGGAGUCUGGAAUUCUCGGUGUAGCAGUGAAAUGCGUGGAUAUCGAGAAGAACACUUAGGGCGUAGGCAAGACUCUGGACAAAUGCUGACGCUCAUGCACGAAGGCUAGGGUAGCGAACGGG